GCAGAAAAAGCCAAGCAUGAUGAGAAGGAAAUGAAGAAAUUGCAGGAUAGCUUGCAGUCGUUGCAAUUACGACUUGGUUCUACAGAACACUUCUGCAGAAGUCUUCAAUAAAAGGUUCGAGAUCUUGAGAACCAAUUAGCUAAGGAGAGAAAAACCAGACUAAAACAAGAAACUAGAGCUUUGGCUGCUGUUUCUGCUCAGUCUCCGGCUUUGUCAGCUCUAAACCAAGCACAGAAGACCAUAGCAGAGAAAAAACCACCAUUGGGUCCCUCAAGAUUGAGAUUGCCUUUGCGAAGAAUCACCAAUUUCUUGCCCCCGCCAUCACCACAUCACAAGACCAGCACUCCCACUUCUUCUAUUCUCCCUGUCUCAACAGAUGACAAGGAAAACAUAUCGAACACAACCAAGACAAAGGCAUCCUUGAAAGCAAGACGUGGAUCCAUUGCUGUAGACCUCCUCCUCCAGUAACAAAUCCAGAUUUGACCAAUGCAAAUUGUACAAUAUGUUUGAGAUAUCAGACAGGAGAAGGAUGCAAAUUUAGGUCUUCUAAGAAAAAAAUGAUAACUAUACUAAACGCUCUUCUGCAAGAAAAAUAAUAAUGAUUCUAUUAAUUUUGGGUCCAUGUUAUAUUUCUUGUGUUAACUUUUAUGUGUUAUGGCUUGUUGCAGGUUGUGUUGUCCACUCUUGCUUUCACAGCAUUUGAGCUUCCCCCUAAUGGGGCUAUUGGAACAAGAAUAUUGGAGUUCCUUUUUCACUCAAGGCCUGAUUUGACAAGGACAGGGAAUUGGGAGAUGCACAUGCAGAAAUCAAGGCAUUAAAGUACUCUGAACGUGUAAAAGAGAAGGCAGUAGAAGAGGUA